rnacentral:lncRNA from 1 species
UUCUGUGAUGAAUUAAUAAUUCACUUAUGCUAAUAAAACAAAGAAAUCCAGUUGCCAGUGUCUUCAAAGAAUCUCAUUUCUUCCCAUGAAUUCUAAUGUAGUUUCCCUCCACCCCUAAUUUUCUCUUUAGCUGGCGAAUAGGAACAGGUGACUUGCAAAGGCGGCAGAGUACUUUGAGAUGGCGGGGGGGCGGAGAGGAGAAGAAGAAGGAGGAGGAGGAGGAGGAAAGAAGAAGAAGAGAGGAAAGAAGGAAGGAAGGGGGAGAGAGAGAGAAAGAAUUGGAAUUUUGUUUUUGCUUGGCCUCAGUGUACCCCCCAGGAACAUGUCAUUUGAAUCAACUACCUGCCGUUUUUUAACCAGUACAUCAUGCUCCUAUUGA